rnacentral:hammerhead_ribozyme from 1 species
ACAGCUGAUGAGUCCCAAAUAGGACGAAACGUGCAUCCUGGAU